AGAUUGAACGCUGGCGGCAGGCCUAACACAUGCAAGUCGAGCGGCAGCACGGGUACUUGUACCUGGUGGCGAGCGGCGGACGGGUGAGUAAUGCCUAGGAAUCUGCCUGGUAGUGGGGGAUAACGCUCGGAAACGGACGCUAAUACCGCAUACGUCCUACGGGGGAAAGCAGGGGACCUUCGGGCCUUGCGCUAUCAGAUGAGCCUAGGUCGGAUUAGCUAGUUGGUGAGGUAAUGGCUCACCAAGGCGACGAUCCGUAACUGGUCUGAGAGGAUGAUCAGUCACACUGGAACUGAGACACGGUCCAGACUCCUACGGGAGCAGCAGUGGGGAAUAUUGGACAAUGGGGACGAAAGCCUGAUCCAGCCAGUGCCGCGUGUGUG
rnacentral:rRNA from 1 species